rnacentral:rRNA from 1 species
CCAUGCGAGUCAUAUGUUCUUCGUGAACAUGGCGUACUGCUCAGUAACACGUGGAUAACCUGCCCUUGGGUCCGGCAUAACCCCGGGAAACUGGGGAUAAUUCCGGAUAACGCAUAUAUGCUGGAAUGCUUUCUGCGUAAAAUGGAUUCGUCUGCCCAAGGAUGGGUCUGCGGCCUAUCAGGUAGUAGUGGGUGUAAUGUACCUACUAGCCGACGACGGGUACGGGUUGUGAGAGCAAGGGCCCGGAGAUGGAUUCUGAGACAUGAAUCCAGGCCCUACGGGGCGCAGCAGGCGCGAAAACUUUACAAUGCGGGAAACCGUGAUAAGGGGACACCGAGUGCCAGCAUCAUAUGCUGGCUGUCCGGGUGUGUAAAAUACACCCGUUAGCAAGGGCCGGGCAAGACCGGUGCCAGCCGCCGCGGUAACACCGGCGGCCCGAGUGGUGAUCGUGAUUAUUGGGUCUAAAGGGUCCGUAGCCGGUUUGGUCAGUCCUCCGGGAAAUCUGAUAGCUCAACUAUUAGGCUUUCGGGGGAUACUGCCAGGCUUGGAACCGGGAGAGGUAAGAGGUACUACAGGGGUAGGAGUGAAAUCUUGUAAUCCCUGUGGGACCACCUGUGGCGAAGGCGUCUUACCAGAACGGGUUCGACGGUGAGGGACGAAAGCUGGGGGCACGAACCGGAUUAGAUACCCGGGUAGUCCCAGCCGUAAACGAUGCUCGCUAGGUGUCAGGCAUGGCGCGACCGUGUCUGGUGCCGCAGGGAAGCCGUGAAGCGAGCCACCUGGGAAGUACGGCCGCAAGGCUGAAACUUAAAGGAAUUGGCGGGGGAGCACAACAACGGGUGGAGCCUGCGGUUUAAUUGGACUCAACGCCGGACAACUCACCGGGGGCGACAGCAAUAUGUAGGCCAAGCUGAAGGCUUUGCCUG